rnacentral:rRNA from 2 species
AUAUCAAUAAGCGGAGGAAAAGAAACCAACAGGGAUUGCCUUAGUAGCGGCGAGUGAAGCGGCAAAAGCUCAAAUUUGAAAUCUGGCACCUUCGGUGUCCGAGUUGUAAUUUGAAGAUUGUAACCUUGGGGUUGGCUCUUGUCUAUGUUUCUUGGAACAGGACGUCACAGAGGGUGAGAAUCCCGUGCGAUGAGAUGCCCAAUCCUAUGUAAGGUGCUUUCGAAGAGUCGAGUUGUUUGGGAAUGCAGCUCUAAGUGGGUGGUAAAUUCCAUCUAAAGCUAAAUAUUGGCGAGAGACCGAUAGCGAACAAGUACAGUGAUGGAAAGAUGAAAAGAACUUUGAAAAGAGAGUGAAAAAGUACGUGAAAUUGUUGAAAGGGAAGGGUUUGAGAUCAGACUCGAUAUUUUGUGAGCCUUGCCUUCGUGGCGGGGUGACCCGCAGCUUAUCGGGCCAGCAUCGGUUUGGGCGGUAGGAUAAUGGCGUAGGAAUGUGACUUUGCUUCGGUGAAGUGUUAUAGCCUGCGUUGAUGCUGCCUGCCUAGACCGAGGACUGCGAUUUUAUCAAGGAUGCUGGCAUAAUGAUCCCAAACCGCCCG